AGUCAUCUAUCUCAGUUGGUAGAGCACUGGGCUCAUAAUCUUUCGGUCGUGGGUUUUAGCCCCACGGUCACUC
rnacentral:tRNA from 1 species